rnacentral:rRNA from 1 species
AGGGGAACUCAGGGAACUGAAACAUCUAAGUACCUGAAGGAAGAGAAAGAAAUUCGAUUCCGUAAGUAGCGGCGAGCGAACGCGGAUUAGCCCAAACCAAUAAAGUUUUCUUUAUUGGGGUUGCGGACAUAUCAUAACGAAGAGGUAUCGUAAUUGAAGAGGUUUGGAAAGACCCACCACAGAAGGUAAUAGUCCUGUAUGUUAAACGAAAAGACUUUAGAUAUGAUCCAGAGUACCACGGGACACGUGAAACCCUGUGGGAAGCAGGAGGGACCACCCUCCAAGGCUAAAUACUACCUAGUGACCGAUAGCGUAUAGUACCGUGAGGGAAAGGUGA